rnacentral:lncRNA from 1 species
GUUGAUUGGCUUGGGGGAUGGCUGGUCAGAGGGAAGCAAGACUGGUGUUGCCGUGGGCCAGGCGCUGUGCAGGAUCUCAGAGGGUCCAAAGAUCCCAUCAGGGAUAGCGUUCAACAUCUCCUUGGAGGAGCUUCUCAUCGUUAAUGAGCACUCUGGAUCAUCUCUUUCCCAUCUUAUUAUGUGAAAAUAUAGCAUUCACGUUGGCUACCCAUUUUAAACAUUUUAAAAACCGAGGUAGAAAGACUGCCAAGGUUAGGAAGAGAGCUGUAUUGAGAUUCUAGGUCAUGAGAAAGUUGGCAGUGGCUGGAUCUUUAUUCCUGCUUUAAAUACCUUCAUAAAGACAGUGCUGGGCAGAGGCACAGAUCCUAGAAGAAUGUGGGACAGGAGGAAGACAGUCUGAUGAACGCACUUCCCUCCAUCGCCAGGCUCUGGAUUGUGGCUUUUACUGAAUGCCCAUCUCAAGCCAAGUGCUGUGCCAGGCCCUGGUGACUGAAUCUUCUACUACCGAGGAAGGGAGAUAUGUAAACAGAUGAUUUAUGAUAUAAUGAGGUAAGUAAUAGAAACAGGUACAAAAUGUUAAGGAAACACAAAGCAAGAAGCAACCAACUCUGACAGAUAUAUCUGGAACGUUUUCACAGAGAAAAUGACAUUUGAGCUGGGUGAGCAGGGACAAUUUAUUUAACCUCUCAUGGCUUUGAUUCCUCAUCUUUGAAGUGGAAAUGAUAAUAGUACUCUUACCAAAUAGUUGUGAGGAUCAAAUGAGCUUUUACAUGAUGCAAAGUGCUUGGAACAGUGCCUGAAAGUAGAAAUUGUUCAAGAAAUAUCAGGGAUAUCAAGCCAUCAGGAAGGGAGGGAGCAGAUAGGAGGAAGGAAAUUUUCCAGGAAGGGAGUGAGAACCUUCUUAUCAGAAGGAACAGCAUGGGCAAAAUGCAGCGUCGUGGAAGAGCAUGGCUUGUUAGGAGAGCAGACAGCAGUUCAGAACAUCCAGAGCACGCGCGGCUUGGGGAGACAGGAGUUUGGGGCCAAAGGGCAGGAAUGUUCCCUGCAGGGCUACCUCACCCACCCACACCAGCAUGGGUUUUUCUGUUGGUUGGUGGAUGCUCAUGCCACAUCACUUGUUGAAACCUUGAGGCUCACCCAUACCUCCUUUAUAUUAAUUACAAUGGGUGGGUGGGGGGUAGGUGAGAGGUGAUUUGAAACAGAGAAUAG